UACAGAGACUGCGAGCGUUAUUCGGAUUCACUGGGCGUAAAGGGUGCGCAGGCGGCCGUGUGUGUUGGGCGUGAAAGCCCGGAGCUUAACUCCGGAAUUGCACUCAAAACUACAUGGCUAGAGCAUUGGAGAGGGUAGCAGAAUUCACGGUGUAGCAGUGAAAUGCGUAGAUAUCGUGAGGAAUACCAGAGGCGAAGGCGGCUACCUGGACAAUUGCUGACGCUCAGGCACGAAAGCGUGGGGAGCAAAAGGG
rnacentral:rRNA from 1 species